rnacentral:rRNA from 1 species
UACGUAGGGCGCAAGCGUUGUCCGGAAUCAUCGGGCGUAAAGAGCGUGUAGGCGGCCCGGUAAGUCCGCUGUGAAAGUCCAGGGCUCAACCCUGGGAUGCCGGUGGAUACUGUCGGGCUCGAGUCCGGAAGAGGAGUGUGGAAUUCCUGGUGUAGCGGUGAAAUGCGCAGAUAUCAGGAGGAACACCAAUGGCGAAGGCAGCACUCUGGGACGGUACUGACGCUGAGGAGCGAAAGCGUGGGGAGCGAACAGG